UCUUGCUGUAGAUAAUAGAGAAAAAUGCUGAUCCUGAACAAAUGCUCUUGGCUUAUCUGCGAAAGAGGCUCUGUCUUACAGGAACUAAGUAUGGCUGUGGAGGAGGUGGUUGUGGUGCUUGCACAGUGAUGAUAUCAACUUAUGAGCCAGCUUCAAAGAAGAUACGACACUAUUCAGCCAAUGCAUGUUUGCUUCCCAUUUGCUC